CGCGUGAGGGAGAGGCUCUUGGGUUGUAAACCCCUUUUCUCUGGGAAGAAAGUUGUGAAAGCAACCUGACGGUACCAGAGGAAUCAGCAUCGGCUAACUCCGUGCCAGCAGCCGCGGUAAGACGGAGGAUGCAAGCGUUAUCCGGAAUGAUUGGGCGUAAAGCGUCCGCAGGUGGCAGUUCAAGUCUGCUGUCAAAGACCGGGGCUUAACUUCGGAAAGGCAGUGGAAACUGAACAGCUAGAGUAUGGUAGGGGCAGAGGGAAUUCCUGGUGUAGCGGUGAAAUGCGUAGAGAUCAGGAAGAACAUCGGUGGCGAAGGCGCUCUGCUGGACCAUAACUGACACUCAGGGACGAAAGCUAGGGGAGCGAAUGGGAUUAGAUACCCCAGUAG
rnacentral:rRNA from 1 species